rnacentral:rRNA from 1 species
AUACGGAGGGUGCAAGCGUUAAUCGGAAUUACUGGGCGUAAAGCGUACGUAGGCGGUUAUUUAAGUCAGAUGUGAAAGCCCCGGGCUUAACUUGGGAACUGCAUUUGAAACUGGGUAACUAGAGUUUAGUAGAGGGGAGUGGAAUUUCAGGUGUAGCGGUGAAAUGCGUAGAGAUCUGAAGGAACACCAGUGGCGAAGGCGACUCCCUGGACUAAAACUGACGCUGAGGUACGAAAGCGUAGGUAGCAAACAGGAUUAGAAACCCCAGUAGUCC